UUGAGUGCAGAAGAGAGAGUGGAAUUCCAUGUGUAGCCGUGAAAUGCCGUAGAUAUAUGGAGGAACACCAGUGGCGAAGGCGGCUCUCUGGUCUGUAAACUGACGCUGAAGCCUCGAAAAGCGUGGAGGAGCAAACAGGAUUAGAUAACCUGGUAGUCCACGCCGUAAACGAUGAGUGCUAAGUGUUGGAGGGUUUCCGCCCUUCAAGUGCUGCAGCAAACGCAUUAAAGCACUCCGCCUGGGGAGUGCGACCGCAAGGGUUGAAACUCAAAGGAAUUGACGGGGGCCCGCACAAGCGGUGGAGCAUGUGGUUUAAUUCGAAGCAACGCGAAAGAACCUUACCAGGUCUUGACAUCCUUUGACCACUCUAGAGAUAGAGCUUUCCCUUCGGGGACAAAGUGACAGGUGGUGCAUGGUUGUCGUCAGCUCGUGUCGUGAGAUGUUGGGUUAAGUCCCGCAACGAGCGCAACCCUUAUUGUUAGUUGCCAUCAUUUAGUUGGGCACUCUAGCGAGACUGCCGGUGACAAACCGGAGGAAGGUGGGGACGACUUCAAAUCAUCAUGCCCCUUAUGACCUGGGCUACACACGUGCUACAAUGGGAAGUACAACGAGUCGCUAGACCGCGAGGUCAUGCAAAUCUCUUAAAGCUUCUCUCAGUUCGGAUCCAGGCUGCAACUCGCCUGCAUGAAGCCGGAAUCGCUAGUAAUCGCGGAUCAGCACCCGCGGUGAAUACGUUCCCGGGCCUUGGCACACCACGCGUCACACCACGAGUGUUUGUAUAUACGAAGUCCGCAGAGUUUGUCCGCU
rnacentral:rRNA from 1 species